CCUGGAUUAGACCAAAAAAAAAAAAGGAUCAUUAGGUGAGUUGAUGUAACAGUCUCAUUGAUAACAACUGGGUUACUGAAAAGCCAAUUUGGGAUAAUAAUACAGGCAUGCCUUUGUGCAAAUAGUAGAAGAGAGGGGCAGAGCUUAAAACUGGGCUGAAGGAACCAAAUCUCUCUCAAGAGAGAAGUGAGAAGAGAACAGAACAGAAGAGAGGAGAAGAUCUGGUUUCUUCAGUUAUACCAGCAAGAUUUGCCACAUAAAUGAAGGAAAGACAGACUUAUAUGGCUCUGGAUAGAAGGCACCAAACUUCCAGCGGUUGGAGAUUUAGAAGAAACCUUGCUAAUCAAAGCUUUCUACAUUUUGCAAGAGAAGAGUGUGGGUCUGGCGGGAUCUUGAAGAAUAUCAGAGCCUCCUGUACUUUGCAUCAGCUCAGACCCCUGUGACUAAGGGAGUCCACCCUAGCGAGCUCACCUUUGGAAAGUGGUCGCAGGUGGCUAGUGUUAAGGAUCUUGGCCUGGCCUUGAAGUGCCUUCAAAAAUGUCAGCCAAAGAAAAGUCAUUGUUGGCAAAGGAGCUUCCCCAGUUCUUUGCUUCUCUCAGCUUGUAUUGAAUGCAUUGUAAGUAGUAACCUUUAUUUUAUGUGAUGAGGACAGAAUUGUUUACCAUCCUAUAAAUCAAUUCUUUUUAAGUGCUUA